rnacentral:rRNA from 1 species
UACGUAGGGCGCAAGCGUUGUCCGGAAUUAUUGGGCGUAAAGAGCUCGUAGGCGGCCUGUUGCGUCCGCUGUGAAAACCCGGGGCUUAACCCCGGGCUUGCAGUGGAUACGGGCAGGCUGGAGGCAGGCAGGGGAGAACGGAAUUCCCGGUGUAGCGGUGAAAUGCGCAGAUAUCGGGAGGAACACCGGUGGCGAAGGCGGUUCUCUGGGCCUGUACUGACGCUGAGGAGCGAAAGCAUGGGGAGCAAACAGG